UUAACUUGAGAAAGGAAACAUCUUUGGCUUCUAUCCCUAAUCUCCUUUCCGGUCCCAAUCUCACCAACCACCGUCUAAUCCGGUUUGCCACCGCCUUUCUUUCUCUUCUCCGGUCCGCCGUUGUUCAUCUUUCUUCGGUCCACUGCAACGCUCCUUGCUACUCUGGUCCGCCGCUGCCCUUCUUUUGGCUUCUCUGGUCCGCCACCGUUCGUCUAUCACCGGUCCGUCACCAUUCGUUUAUCACCGGUCAGCAGCAGUUCCCCUUUCUACGAUCUGCCGCCUCACUCCUUCGUCCAUCUUCGCUUUUACAAGGAAUAGGAGUUUGAGGAGAUUUAGGAUUUUUAUUAUCCUAUAUGUUGCAGGAGGUGGCUUGUGUUUUUCCAUGAAAAGUGUCUGAGAGAGUGAGUUAACAAAUCAUACUAUUAGUUGGUCUGGUUACGGUUGUGAAGGAUUUCAUCUAUACAAGUACUUGUCCCUUCCCUGAAGAAGUGGUUCUGCCAAAUUUACAAUAAGUUGAAUCUUAUUCAAAGUUCAAUUGAUAUAUAUAUAUAUAUAUAUGUAUGUAUCUUAUUUUGAGUGUUUUAUCUAUAGUUUGAAUCUGAGCAGGAUUUGAUUUGGUUCUUUUAGUUUUAGUGAGAUUUUAUUUAUGUAGUCUAUAUAAAAUGAAAAUGUGAGAGAUCAACCAUCAAUCAUUGGGAUUUGGAAGGAAACAUAUAAAGUUGUAUUAACUGUAAAUUCCCUUUAUAAGAUUAGAUGUUGUUGCAUCUUUGGACUGAAAUAAAAAAAUUUAUUAUCAUA